rnacentral:rRNA from 1 species
AUUGAACGCUGGCGGCAGGCCUAACACAUGCAAGUCGAGCGGACGAAGGGAGCUUGCUCUUCGAUUCAGUGGCGGACGGGCGAGUAAUGCCUAGGAAUCUGCCUGGUAGUGGGGGAUAACGUCCGGACACGGGCGCUAAUACCGCAUACGUCCUGAUGUAGAAAGUGGGGGUUCUUCGGACCUCACGCUUCCAGCUGAGCCUAGGUCGGAUUAGCUAGUUGGUGGGGUAAAGGCCUACCAAGGCGACGAUCCGUAACUGGUCUGAGAGGAUGAUCAGUCACACUGGAACUGAGACACGGUCCAGACUCCUACGGGAGGCAGCAGUGGGGAAUAUUGGACAAUGGGCGAAAGCCUGAUCCAGCCAUGCCGCGUGUGUGAAGAAGGUCUUCGGAUUGUAAAGCUCUUUAAGUUGGGAAGAAGAGCAGUAAGUUAAAACCUUGCUGUUUUGACGUUACCAACAGAAUAAGCACCGGCUAACUUCGUG